rnacentral:rRNA from 1 species
CUACGGGGUGGUGCAGUGAGGAAUAUUGCACAAUGGGGGGAACCCUGAUGCAGCAACGCCGCGUGGAGGAUGACGCAUUUCGGUGAAUAAACUCCUUUUAUAUGUCAAGAAAAUGACGGUAGCAUAUGAAUAAGCACCGGCUAACUCCGUGCCAGCAGCCGCGGUAAUACGGAGGGUGCAAGCGUUACUCGGAAUCACUGGGCGUAAAGGACGCGUAGGCGGGUUGGAAAGUCAGGUGUGAAAUCCUACAGCUUAACUGUAGAACUGCACUUGAAACUUCUAAUCUAGAGUAUGGGAGGGGGAGAUGGAAUUAGUGGUGUAGGGGUAAAAUCCGUAGAUAUCACUAGGAAUACCUAAAGCGAAGGCGAUCUCCUGGAACAUUACUGACGCUAAGGCGUGAAAGCGUGGGGAGCAAACAGGAUUAGAUACCCGCGUAGUC